AAUACAUGCAAGUCGAGCGAACUGAUUAGAAGCUUGCUUCUAUGACGUUAGCGGCGGACGGGUGAGUAACACGUGGGCAACCUGCCUGUAAGACUGGGAUAACUUCGGGAAACCGAAGCUAAUACCGGAUAGGAUCUUCUCCUUCAUGGGAGAUGAUUGAAAGAUGGUUUCGGCUAUCACUUACAGAUGGGCCCGCGGUGCAUUAGCUAGUUGGUGAGGUAACGGCUCACCAAGGCAACGAUGCAUAGCCGACCUGAGAGGGUGAUCGGCCACACUGGGACUGAGACACGGCCCAGACUCCUACGGGAGGCAGCAGUAGGGAAUCUUCCGCAAUGGACGAAAGUCUGACGGAGCAACGCCGCGUGAGUGAUGAAGGCUUUCGGGUCGUAAAACUCUGUUGUUAGGGAAGAACAAGUACGAGAGUAACUGCUCGUACCUUGACGGUACCUAACCAGAAAGCCACGGCUAACUACGUGCCAGCAGCCGCGGUAAUACGUAGGUGGCAAGCGUUAUCCGGAAUUAUUGGGCGUAAAGCGCGCGCAGGCGGUUUCUUAAGUCUGAUGUGAAAGCCCACGGCUCAACCGUGGAGGGUCAUUGGAAACUGGGGAACUUGAGUGCAGAAGAGAAAAGCGGAAUUCCACGUGUAGCGGUGAAAUGCGUAGAGAUGUGGAGGAACACCAGUGGCGAAGGCGGCUUUUUGGUCUGUAACUGACGCUGAGGCGCGUAAUUUCGGACACUCC
rnacentral:rRNA from 2 species